rnacentral:rRNA from 1 species
UACGUAGGGUGCAAGCGUUGUCCGGAAUUAUUGGGCGUAAAGAGCUCGUAGGCGGUUUGUCGCGUCGAAUGUGAAAACCCACGGCUCAACUGUGGGCUUGCAUUCGAUACGGGCAGGCUAGAGUUCGGUAGGGGAGACUGGAAUUCCUGGUGUAGCGGUGAAAUGCGCAGAUAUCAGGAGGAACACCGGUGGCGAAGGCGGAUCUCUGGGCCAUUACUGACGCUGAGGAGCGAAAGCGUGGGGAGCGAACAGG